rnacentral:rRNA from 1 species
CCUACGGGUGGCAGCAGUGGGGAAUAUUGCGCAAUGGGCGAAAGCCUGACGCAGCGACGCCGCGUGAGGGAUGAAGGUCUUCGGAUCGUAAACCUCUGUCAGCAGGGAAGAACGGUCACUGUGCUAAUCAUCAGUGAAUUGACGGUACCUGCAAAGGAAGCACCGGCUAACUCCGUGCCAGCAGCCGCGGUAAUACGGAGGGUGCGAGCGUUAAUCGGAAUUACUGGGCGUAAAGCGCUCGUAGGCGGUAUGUCAAGUCAAGGGUGAAAUCCCCGGGCUCAACGUGGGAACUGCCUUUGAAACUGGCAGACUGGAGUGUGUGAGAGGAUAGUGGAAUUCCUGGUGUAGGAGUGAAAUCCGUAGAUAUCUGGAGGAACAUCAGUGGCGAAGGCGACUAUCUGGCACAUAACUGACGCUGAGGAGCGAAAGCGUGGGUAGCAAACAGGAUUAGAUACCCGAGUAGUC